GCCCCCGUGGCGCAAUCGGUAGCGCAUCUGACUUUUAAUCAGACGGUUGCGGGUUCGAGCCCCGCCGGGGGCUU